UAUCUCCCUAUCUUGCUGGUGAUGACAAAGUCAUAACAAAAUGAGCAUCUAAUAACUUUAAAAUCUCAUCAGU